rnacentral:rRNA from 1 species
AGUCGAACGGGUAGCACAGAAGGAGCUUGCUCCUUGGGUGACGAGUGGCGGACGGGUGAGUAAUGUCUGGGAAACUGCCCGAUGGAGGGGGAUAACUACUGGAAACGGUAGCUAAUACCGCAUAACGUCGCAAGACCAAAGAGGGGGACCUUCGGGCCUCUUGCCAUCGGAUGUGCCCAGAUGGGAUUAGCUAGUAGGUGGGGUAACGGCUCACCUAGGCGACGAUCCCUAGCUGGUCUGAGAGGAUGACCAGCCACACUGGAACUGAGACACGGUCCAGACUCCUACGGGAGGCAGCAGUGGGGAAUAUUGCACAAUGGGCGCAAGCCUGAUGCAGCCAUGCCGCGUGUAUGAAGAAGGCCUUCGGGUUGUAAAGUACUUUCAGCGAGGAGGAAGGCGUUGUGGUUAAUAACCGCAGCGAUUGACGUUACUCGCAGAAGAAGCACCGGCUAACUCCGUGCCAGCAGCCGCGGUAAUACNGAAGGGUGCAAGCGUUAAUCGGAAUUACUGGGCGUAAAGCGCACGCAGGCGGUCUGUCAAGUCGGAUGUGAAAUCCCCGGGCUCAACCUGGGAACUGCAUCCGAAACUGGCAGGCUAGAGUCUUGUAGAGGGGGGUAGAAUUCCAGGUGUAGCGGUGAAAUGCGUAGAGAUCUGGAGGAAUACCGGUGGCGAAGGCGGCCCCCUGGACAAAGACUGACGCUCAGGUGCGAAAGCGUGGGGAGCAAACAGGAUUAGAUACCCUGGUAGUCCACGCCGUAAACGAUGUCGACUUGGAGGUUGUGCCCUUGAGGCGUGGCUUCCGGAGCUAACGCGUUAAGUCGACCGCCUGGGGAGUACGGCCGCAAGGUUAAAACUCAAAUGAAUUGACGGGGGCCCGCACAAGCGGUGGAGCAUGUGGUUUAAUUCGAUGCAACGCGAAGAACCUUACCUACUCUUGACAUCCAGAGAACUUAGCAGAGAUGCUUUGGUGCCUUCGGGAACUCUGAGACAGGUGCUGCAUGGCUGUCGUCAGCUCGUGUUGUGAAAUGUUGGGUUAAGUCCCGCAACGAGCGCAACCCUUAUCCUUUGUUGCCAGCGGUUCGGCCGGGAACUCAAAGGAGACUGCCAGUGAUAAACUGGAGGAAGGUGGGGAUGACGUCAAGUCAUCAUGGCCCUUACGAGUAGGGCUACACACGUGCUACAAUGGCAUAUACAAAGAGAAGCGACCUCGCGAGAGCAAGCGGACCUCAUAAAGUAUGUCGUAGUCCGGAUUGGAGUCUGCAACUCGACUCCAUGAAGUCGGAAUCGCUAGUAAUCGUGGAUCAGAAUGCCACGGUGAAUACGUUCCCGGGCCUUGUACACACCGCCCGUCACAUCCAUGGGAGUGGGUUGCAAAAGAAGUAGGUAGCUUAACCUUCGGGAGGGCGCUACC